rnacentral:rRNA from 1 species
GGGCCCGCACAAGCGGUGGAGUAUGUGGUUUAAUUCGAUGCAACGCGAAGAACCUUACCAGGGUUUGACAUCCUGCGAAUCUCUUGGAAACGAGAGAGUGCCUUCGGGAGCGCAGUGACAGGUGGUGCAUGGCUGUCGUCAGCUCGUGUCGUGAGAUGUUGGGUUAAGUCCCGCAACGAGCGCAACCCACGUCUUUAGUUGCCAGCGGUUCGGCCGGGGACUCUAAGAAGACUGCCAGCGCAAGCUGAGAGGAAGGUGGGGAUGACGUCAAAUCAUCACGGCCCUUACGUCCUGGGCUACACACGUGCUACAAUGGUACAGACAGAGGGCAGCCACCUGGCGACAGGGAGCGAAAUCCUUAAACUGUAUCUCAGUUCGGAUCGGAGUCUGCAACUCGACUCCGUAGAAGCUGGAAUCGCUAGUAAUCGC